rnacentral:rRNA from 1 species
AUGGCUGUCGUCAGCUCGUGUUGUGAAAUGUUGGGUUAAGUCCCGCAACGAGCGCAACCCUUAUCCUUUGUUGCCAGCGGUUAGGCCGGGAACUCAAAGGAGACUGCCAGUGAUAAACUGGAGGAAGGUGGGGAUGACGUCAAGUCAUCAUGGCCCUUACGACCAGGGCUACACACGUGCUACAAUGGCGCAUACAAAGAGAAGCGACCUCGCGAGAGCAAGCGGACCUCAUAAAGUGCGUCGUAGUCCGGAUUGGAGUCUGCAACUCGACUCCAUGAAGUCGGAAUCGCUAGUAAUCGUGGAUCAGAAUGCCACGGUGAAUACGUUCCCGGGCCUUGUACACACCGCCCGUCACACCAUGGGAGUGGGUUGCAAAAGAAGUAGGUAGCUUAACCUUCGGGAGGGCGCUUACCACUUUGUGAUUCAUGACUGGGGUGAAGUCGUAACAAGGUAACCGUAGGGGAACCUGCGGUUGGA